rnacentral:rRNA from 1 species
CAAUAGCGUAUAUUAAAGUUGUUGCAGUUAAAAAGCUCGUAGUUGGAUUUCUGGUGGAAGCGACCGGUCGGGCGUUGAUUCGUCUGCACUGGAGUCGGUUUUGGCCAUCCUCUAGGAAAGUGCGUCUGGUAUUAAGUUAUCGGGCGUAUGAUCCUGGUCUUUUACUGUGAAAAAAUUAGAGUGUUUAAAGCAGGCCUUCGCCUUGAAUACAUUAGCAUGGAAUAAUAAGAUAGGACUUUGGUCUAUUUUGUUGGUUUGCAGACCGAAGUAAUGAUUAAUAGGGAUAGUUGGGGGUAUUUAUAUUCCGAUGUCAGAGGUGAAAUUCUUAGAUUUUCGGAAGAUAAACUUAUGCGAAAGCAUUUACCAAGGAUGUUUUCAUUAA